rnacentral:pre_miRNA from 1 species
UAGGUAGUUUCAUGUUGUUGGGGCUCGAGUCUAACUCUACAACACGAAACUGCUCGAA